rnacentral:rRNA from 1 species
AACAAACAUGGAUCCCCUUAGUAGCGGCGAGCGAAGCGGGAUGAGCCCAGAUUUGAAAGCUCCCAUCCGGGCGCAUUGUAAGCUGGAGACGUGCCUCGUGCGGUGCGGCUGGACGCCAAGUCUGCUGGAAAGCAGCAUCAGAGAGGGUGAGAAUCCCGUGCUUGGUCUGGCGGCAGUGCCGUGUUGUGGGGUGCGCUCGACGAGUCGCGUUGUUUGGGAAAUGCAGCGCAAAGAGGGGUGGUAAAGGCCAUCCAAGGCUAAAUAUGGGGGAGAGACCGAUAGCGAACAAGUACCGUGAGGGAAAGAUGAAAAGCACUUUGGAAAGAGAGUUAAAGAGUACGUGAAAUUGCCAAAAGGGAAGCGUUGGAAGUCAGUGCCGUAGCGCAGCUUGUUCUGCCCUCUCUUGGGGGGUGUAUUGUGGCUGCGUGGGGCCCAUGUGGGUUGCUGGGUGGGGGAGAAGGCGGUGCGGAAGGUGGCUUUUCCCGUUUGGGGGGAGUGUUAUAGCCGCGCGGUGGAUGCCCUGCCUGCGACCGAGGAUGGCUAGUACACAGGACAUGGGCUUAAUGGCUUUCAGCGGCCCGUCUUGAAACA